AGUUGAGCGGAGAUAUAUGGAGCUUGCUUUAUAUAACUUAGCAGCGAACGGGUGAGUAACACGUAGAUAAUCUAUCCUAUACUGGGGGAUAGCCCGAUGAAAGUUGGAUUAAUACCGCAUAUAGCUAUAUAGUUGCAUGAUUAUGUAGUGAAAGAUUUAUUGGUAUAGGAGGAGUCUGCGGCACAUUAGCUAGUAGGUGAGGUAAAGGCUUACCUAGGCGACGAUGUGUAGCCGGUCUGAGAGGAUGAACGGCCACAAUGGAACUGAGACACGGUCCAUACUCCUACGGGAGGCAGCAGUGGGGAAUAUUGCACAAUGGGGGAAACCCUGAUGCAGCAACGCCGCGUGAGUGAAGAAGGUUUUCGGAUUGUAAAGCUCUGUUAGCAGGGAAGAGGAAGGACGGUACCUGCAGAGGAAGCCACGGCUAACUACGUGCCAGCAGCCGCGGUAAUACGUAGGUGGCAAGCGUUGUUCGGAAUAACUGGGCGUAAAGGAUGCGUAGGCGGUUAAACAAGUUAUAUGUUAAAUAUAUAGGCUUAACCUGUAGAAAGCAUAUAAAACUGUUUAACUAGAGUGCAGGAGAGGUAAGUGGAAUUCCUAGUGUAGCGGUGAAAUGCGUAGAGAUUAGGAAGAACACCAGUGGCGAAGGCGACUUACUGGACUGUAACUGACGCUGAGGCAUGAGAGCAUGGGGAGCAAACAGGAUUAGAUACCCUGGUAGUCCAUGCUGUAAACGAUGGGUACUAGGUGUGGGUUGUGAAUAACAAUUCGUGCCGUCGCAAACGCAAU
rnacentral:rRNA from 1 species